UGGCUGGGUACACACAUUCUGUUCCGUUCAACAGUAGCUUGUUGUGUCACAAAGCCAACUAAACUAUUGUGGCUUUUACACGAAGCACAAUCCUUUUACACACAUUGCUGAACUUCCUGUAUGUAACCAUGUUUGAAUCUGCAAUUGUUCUUGCUAAUGGAGGGGCAAAAAUGCUCUUUGUUGAAUUGACUUUUUGUUGGCCACAGAAGAGGCAGAAAGAAUUGUAGUUGAUUAAGUUGCUAGAACGGCUUCUGGGCAUUCAGCUGAAGUACUUUAGUUCUCAAGUGUCGGAAUAAUUGCAAACCCAGCACAACGCAGUAAAAAUGCUUGCCAAUCAAGUGACAUUACAUUCGAGCCACUUGGAGAGGUUCCGAAAGUCUUACAAGGAGCUAAAAACUUUCCAGGAGGAAAAUUACACCGUAAAU